rnacentral:lncRNA from 11 species
CCAAUUUCUGGGACUAAGAAUAGCAAAGGCAGGGCUAGUUUUUAAGGUAGCCAAUGAGAGAGAAGGGAGGCCUCGAGGAAGAGACACAGACCCGCCCCCCUCGCCCUGCGCGCGCUGCCUCGCGACUCGGAAGUGAGGGCGCGCGCGCUCCGGAAGUGCUGGGCGCUCUCGGAGAGGGACGACGGCCGGGGCCCUUCUGACGCCCCCUUGGCGGGCGCCUGGUAGCAGCAUGUUCCUCACGGCAGCCAAUUUGGCCAGGACCAAAUCCAAGUCACUUUGGGAGCUGUUGCUGUCCAAGACUGUUGCCAUCAUGGAGAAGCCGAAGGAUUUUCACAAAUUUGUCAGGGCACCCGAUUUUUUGGAGGAUGGUCCAGAGAGCGCUACGAUUCACUGUGUCGAAUGCCUUUGCAUGGUCAAUGAGUGCCAUGUACAGAGGUAUAUUCUUGUGAGGAUGCUGAGUGAAGCAGGAACAGGUUAUGCUUUCAACAUAAAAAGAGCACGGCUUGAUGAAAAGCGAGUUAUGCUGAGAUACGAUCCUUUUGUUAAACAGUAUGUCCUCUUCAAAGAACACAAAAAAAUCCGCUCCCUAUAG